rnacentral:rRNA from 1 species
AUUGAACGCUAGCGGCAGGCCUAACACAUGCAAGUCGAACGAGUGGCGGACGGGUGGGUAAUGUCUGGGAAACUGCCUGAUGGAGGGGGAUAACUACUGGAAACGGUAGCUAAUACCGAAUACCAUGGGAUGUGCCCAGAUGGGAUUAGCGAGUAGGGGGGGUAACGGCUCACCUAGGCGACGAUCCCUAGCUGGUCUGCGAGGAUGACCAUCCACACUGGAACGGAGCCACGGUCCAGACUCCUACGGGAGGCAGCAGUGGGGAAUAUUGCACAAUGGGCGCAAGCCUGAUGCAGCCAUGCCGCGUGUAUGAAGAAGGCCUUCGGGUUGUAAAGUACUUUCAGCGGGGAGGCGUUACCCGCAGAAGAAGCACCGGCUAACUCCGUGCCAGCAGCCGCGGGAAUAC